AAGGAGCACUUCUCCACGGACACCCGAGGAGUCGGGAUGGUAAACGUCUUGUGGCAGAGACCGUUUCGGAAGCAGUCGUCUUCCGGCGGGAGCUCAUGGGUGGAACGCUGGCAUGUGCCUCGUGUAUCGGUUGGUCCUGUGUGGCCGGCCGGCGGGGAUGUAGUCGACACACUGUUGGGUCCUGAGAGAACACGCGAGUGACUCUCUAGGUAUGAGAUAACGACGAGGCUGGAUCUUCAGUCAUACCGCGGGGCUUUCUUCGGAGGGUUUCGGUCUGGUGCUGAGUCAGGGUUUGGUCUUGUGUGUUGUUUGAGAACUGCACAGUGGACGCGAGCAUCUUUGUUU
rnacentral:misc_RNA from 1 species